rnacentral:rRNA from 1 species
GAGCAUGGGCGCAGCCUGAUGCAGCGACGCCGCGUGAGGGAUGACGGCCUUCGGGUUGUAAACCUCUUUCAGCAGGGAAGAAGCGCAAGUGACGGUACCUGCAGUAAGAAGCACCGGCUAACUACGUGCCAGCAGCCGCGGUAAUACGAACGA